AUGGCAUCGGUUUCGAAGCUUGUGCUUCUCCUGCUGUGCGCCUACCACACUCUCGUUGCUCACGCAGGAGAUGAUCUUGGCAGUUACUACAAGGUUCUGCCCGCUGGCUCUCUGGAAUCUGCCACCGUCAACUGCACCGAUCACAAAGCAGUGAGUCCAGCAUCCGGCGGCGUCGUCAUGGUGCCGUUGCACCACCGGCACGGCCCAUGCUCCCCUGUCCCCUCCACGAAGGCGCCGACCUUGGAGGAGAUGCUCCGGCGUGACCGGAUCCGAGCUGACUACAUCAGGCGGAGGUUCUCUGGCGUCAAGGGUGGCGGCCUCGAGCAAACGGACGUAACCGUGCCUACCACGCUGGGCCUCUCCCUGGGCACGUUGCAGUACGUGAUCACCGUCGGCAUCGGCUCGCCGGCCGUGAACCAGACCAUGUUCAUCGACACAGGCAGCGACGUGUCAUGGGUGCAGUGCAAGCCGUGCUUGCGGUGCCACUCGCAGGCGGACUCGCUCUUCGACCCCAGAUCGUCGAGCACCUACUCCCCGUUCACCUGCAGCUCCGCCGCCUGCGCGCAGCUCCGCCAGGACGGCCAAGGAAACGGCUGCUCCAGCUCCCAGUGCCAGUACAUUGUCAACUACGGCGAUGGUUCAAGAACCACCGGGACCUACAGCUCUGACACGCUCUCGCUGGGCUCCAACGCCGUCAGCAACUUCCAGUUCGGGUGCAGCCAGUCUGAGUCGGGCCUCCUUCUCAACGACCAGACCGCUGGGCUCAUCGGGCUUGGCGGCGGCGCUCAGUCGCUGGCCACCCAGACCGCGGGGACCUUCGGCAAGGCCUUCUCGUACUGCCUCCCGCCGACUCCGGGCUCGUCCGGCUUCCUCACUCUGGGUGCAGCAACCUCGGGUUUCGUCGUCAAGACACCGUUGCUGAGGAGCAGGCAGGUCCCGGCGUACUACAUCGUGUCUCUUCAGGCCAUCAGGGUGGGAGGCAGGCAGCUCAACAUACCCACCACGGUCUUUUCCGCCGGGUCGCUCAUGGACUCCGGCACAAUCAUCACGCGCCUGCCGCGGACCGCGUACUCGGCGCUGUCGUCGGCGUUCAAGGCCGGCAUGAAGCAGUACCCGCCGGCGCAGCCCAUGGGCAUCUUGGACACGUGCUUCGACUUCAGUGGCCAGUCCAGCAUCAGAAUACCGAGCGUUGCACUGGUGUUCUCCGGGGGCGCCAUCGUCAACCUCGCCCCCGAGGGGAUCAUUCUGGAGAGCUGCCUCGCCUUCGCGGCCAACCGCGAUGACAGCUCCCUCGGCAUUAUCGGCAACGUGCAGCAGCGGACGUUCGAGGUGCUCUACGACGUUGGUGGCGGCGCCCUGGGGUUCAACGCAGGCGCAUGCUGA
rnacentral:rRNA from 1 species